GCAGUUUGUCAUGUGGUUUCUCAUGUGAUGCUGGGUCUGCAGCACUUGGGAGCAAGAGUCUUUGUGACUGGCACUCAUGGACAGACAGUGGUGUUCAGGGACAGAACAGAUUUUGGAGGGGGUGGGGAGGCCAAUAAACCAAGAAACGUCAGAAAUAAAAGUCGCAUGAAGUACUCUGAUCUCUGUAUUUCCUUUUUUUUUUUUUUUUUUUUGAAAUUUGAUUUUAACUCUUGCUUUUUUUUAUGGUUUGUGUCUGUUUUUUCCACCCCCGCUGGCGCCGAGCUGCGCUGUUUUGUGUUUCUUUUUUUUUUUUUUUUUCUAUUUUUUUUUUUUAAAUUCUGAAGCCAGACCGUCUUUCCUCACAGCUCCACGGCUGCAUCUCCGUGGGCACGCAAGCUUCCCCUGGUUACCUGAGCUGCUCCUGCCGUCUCCCGCCUGGGCUUCGCCGUGGUGCACCCGAUCCCGGAAUCGUGCGUCUGCGCCCUGCGAAAGAAGGACCUGCUGGCGGAGCUCCGGCCGGGGUCUCCUGCCUCGCAGCUGGGCGAGGGGACUUGGAGGACAGGGUGAAGCUGCAGAAGACCUGGGGUGGGAUGGCUAGAGAGGACGCCAAGGACUGGGGAAGGGGAAGUUAGGAAUACCUUACAUCCAAUGCCCACCCGUGCUCCGCAGGGCAAGGGCAGCCGUCGCCUCGGCCGCGUGCACCCAGCUCAGGCUGUUCCCAGGGAUUUAGUCUGGGGGGACAACCCAUGGCGAGAUGUGGUGGCAUUUUACCUCAGAGUGGAGCUGAAGAUGGAUAAACAAGGUAUCUGAUGUAUCUGCCUGAGAAGGCAGAGCUGGAGAAAGGCGGAGCGAGGGAGCGCGUGAAAAGAAAGAGAUGCCGAAUGCCGGGUGAUUGUCUGCCGCUUGCUGUGCAUUCUCAUUCUAGGGAGGAUGGCAUAAUUUAUAACCCAGCACAUGGAUAGAGGAACUGUAAAUUGUAGUCUGGAUGUCCCCGGCGCUGUCGACGAAGGAACUGAUGGGCUAGGUGACUGUACCAGUGUCCCCAGAGAAAAUCGCAGCCUCGCAGCAUGGAUUUAAAUGCAUGUGCAUGCAUGUAGAGACAUGAAAAAAGGUUUCUGACCAUUUUACACAGGAAGUCUGUCACUUUGCUGGAUCGGGCUUGAUUGCAGCUUGUGUUUUCAGCUCCAGUUCAACACCCAUUUCCUGACUAGUGAGACAGCAUGGCCAAAGCAGCUGCAUGCAGAAUUUUCUUUUUACUGUGAAAGCAAGCCCCCUCUGUUUUAACUCCUUCCAGUUCUGAAUGCUCUGUGCUUUGCUAGGACCGAUUGUGGGGUUUUGUUUUCUUCUUCUACAAAUCCCUGUAAACACAGCUGUAUUCAGUAAUGGCAAAAAAAUUCUAUCCUGUAAAUAGAAAUCUGAUCAAUUUAAUCAAAAUAAAUGUAUCCCAGAUGACUUUGAGACCAGCUGGCUACCACAGGCUUCAGAUGCUAAAUGCUCAGUGGAGAUGAAUACAGUGUUAUAUUUACAUGUUUCAGAGUGCCGGGAUCAGCCUAUAAUUUGCAAAAAGAAAUUAUUUUCUAAAGACGAGAGGUGGUCCUACCAGCUCACAGCUGAUGGUUAGGUACAGGUGUAAAUGCUGUUCAUGUGAUUUGGAGAUUUGCAGUGUUGCAUUUCAAAAGGCAUGUGCCAUGAGGCAGAGUAUGGCUGUUGUUAGUAUGGAGAAUGCUUGCUUCUAACUUGCUGUUAUGGAGAGCCGAAUGCCCUCUGAAUAGCUUCUAGUGAGGUUGAGGGCAGGCACUUGAGGCUUGUUGUAGAUUCAGAUGUGAGAGCUGGGGUUCUCCAACCCCAGCUCAGUGGAGUCAGCUCAACCCUGGGGGUGAGGAGGUUUCCCAGUUGUCAUGGGGAGCUCUUCUGGGACGCCUGUCUGGCCCUUCCACUGUUUGUUACUAAUUCUACAAAGGCAGCUCUGUGUGUUGGAUUAUGUUUGGCCAGCUGUUGAUGCAUUCCUGCGGAUGGGGCUGGGUGAGGAUCUUAUUACUGUACUUUCAAACUGUAGAUCUGUGUGCAGGGAUAGUACAGAAGGAAAGGAAAAGCAAUAAGUUACAGAAUCUGAUCAUUCUUACCUCUUUCUCCAGAUAGUCCUAGAGUGAAUCCAGAAAGGCUUUAAAGUGAAAAGAGGAAAGAGAGAGUAAGUGAUUGGGGGUGGGUGGCAUGAGGAGAAGAGAAUGAAACAGAGCAAGCGCACAAGAGAAAAACAGCCUUAGAACUUCAAAGCUGCAUAGACAAGCAGAAUGUCACCAGCUUGUAAUUAGCGGUUCAUGGUUGCGUCAGUGACUGUAUCUAUCCAAGAAUAACUAUGUGAUAUGUGCCACAAAGUGAAGAAGAUAGUCAUAACUAAGUUAUCAAACCCAGUUCAAACAAGGGCAAAUGGAUUAAGAAAUUUUCUGUUUGUAAAUCAAAUACUGAUGGAUUACACAGAUAAGACUUAACUGAAUUCUGCGUAAUUGAAGGCUGAAUUAUCAAUUUGUCAGGGGGGAUAUGUUCAUUAAAUGAAACUGUGAACGCUUAAACAUGCAAAUUAAUCAUGCGAGAAAAUAUCAGUGCAAGCUCUAUCAAUACAAGAUGUUUUACUAAAUAGCCAAAAAUGGCACUGCCAGUCUCCUAUCUCUGUAUCCACACAUAAAUUUUUUUGUUUGUUUUUGUGCAUUUCAAUAGAGAGAAGUCAAAAGUUACAUUCGAGUAAAUAGGGUAAAUUAAAUUCUAAAAUUCCCACUUUAGAAUUUAAAAAACAACUAAGGAGUUUUGAUUUUUGGUGAUCUCCCGAGUUUAAACCUUGAAGGAGCUUUUGCUGUCUUGAAGCCAAACAGCAGCUAGUCAGUAAUCGUUAUGGGAAGUCAGGGUACCACAGUUGUUGAGAUUUCAAGGCCACGUUCACUUCCCUCCCUUGUCUCUUGUGCUUGGAGAUUUGGGUGCUACUACAGCCUCCACAAAGAGACAGUGGGAGGAGCUGAUUGGUCCGUAGGCUUAGAAUGUUUACUCUUAUUUGUUUUCAGUGCUCCUCCAUGGCAUUCAUUUUCUGUUUGUAUUUGUGUUCAUGCUGCACAAUUACUCCUGACCUGCUUUGUUUCUCUGCCCAAAGAGAAGUCAAUUUUAGUUCAGCUCUGUGUGUUUAGCUUGCUGGGUAAUAUGUGCAUAUGUAUUGCAUUACCCAUGUAUGCAUUUUUCUUUUUUUAAAAUGUGGAUUAGGGAAAAUUGUAGCAUGGAAAGCUGCAUAUAUUAAAUCAAUAGCUUUUUGAAUCACAUGUAAUAUAAUUUAAAUAUACUCACUUUGAGGUUGCCAAAACUGACAUUGUCUGAGCCCGUUUAAUUUACAUCUUCGAUUUAGUCAAGAAGCGGAACCUGCCAGAUCAGAAUAGUGUAUUCUGUGCACCCAACAGGGUGGAAGACAUUAUUUUGUUUGUGUUAGUUCAAACAGCUGGUCAUUAAUGCAGUCCCCAUUUCUAGAGCGAAGUGCUGCUGGACAUGAAUGCCCGCCUGAUUAAUGCUGCCCCUCCGAGGGUCCUUCACCCAGCAGUCAUGCUCGCAGCAGAAUAAUGUAGCAUGAUGUGAUUGCACUCUAACAGGAUAGUAUGUCAUUGUGUCACCAAGCAAUUGAGGUUAUUAUGGGGCAGGGCAGACAGACGGGACAGUGGGGUUACUAGACCGUAGCAUUUUUAGAAAUACAGGCCUGACCUACUUAGAGUUAUUCUCUCUGGCUGGCAGCUGCAUGGUACAUAAAGUCUCCUGAUAGGCUGAGUCUGUUGCUAGGGGGAAUUAGCAUGAAUUUUUCCACACACAGACUCAGUGGCUGAAUGAUAAAAGCUGACUGGAAUUAAAGAGAUUUGGUUUAGUAUUAUACAGAUUUAUGUGCCUCCUUUUCUUUCUCAAGUGCAGAGAAAGAGUGCAAAACACAGAUUUUGUUUCCAUUUGUUCUUUGACCUUCUUGUUCUCUCCCCCUCCCCUCAAGAUGCAUGAGGGGAGGAGGGCAGGGCAGUUAUGAAAUUUUGGUUAAUCUCUCACUGUUGGGGUCACUGAAACGAUGUCGCAAAUUGCAAGAUAUUUAAGCUUAAAAACUGUUGGGAAUGACUAACAGAAGGUUAGAUUAUUUUUCCUCUUCUGUGCACUAAGCUGUUUUGAAGUUGGGCAUGCAUCUUUCAUGCACUGUAUAUUUAAACUCUCUUUCCCUUUUGGGCUUGAACAAAACAUUUAUAUAAAUUCUUUUCUAUCCAAACAGAUUGAAGCUUGCAAUCUCUGUCUUGUUUAAAACAAGGUGGUCAGGAUUCCAGAUUUAGAUAGGAAAAAAAUAUAUAUACCAUUUUUGUUAUUACAAAAUAUUAUUUUCUGGGGUAUUGUGGGUUUGGCUCCCUUUUCAAAAACCAGCCUGAUGUGGAUGCUUAUGGAUGAAACUGAACUGCUCCUACCCUACCCUGUUGGCUUCACAAUGUAUAGGAAAACAUAGGUUUUUCUCCAGAAGAAAAUCUGCCUGCAGAAUGUAUCUGGAGGUUGUUUUCCUUGUUGCUGACAUAUGCACUGCAUGUAGACAACUCACAUAAUCAACUGUAUAAGAUGACCCAUUUUUUUCCUUCUCAUGGAUCUCCAAGUGUCUGUGGCUUUUAAUAGAUCUUUUCUAGAGGAGGAGUCUUGAUAGAUCUUUUUAAGGUAAUCUGAAAAGCCAUCAGGAGAAAAAUUAAAGCAACACAUAUUUAAGAAUACUUUAAUUUUUCUUGUUCUUAAUUAUAUGCUAACUGUGCUUAAACUGCAAUUUCUUUCUGUUACCUUUUACUGCUGAAAGUAGUGAUUAUCCUUGCCUUUUAGAUUUGAAAUUAAUUUUCGUGAGAACACCCUGGGAUAUCACAAGUAAAAAAGAAACUGGGCUACAUAAAGGAAAAGAAUAAUAGAGAUUCUUGUAAACUUGUCACAUUAGUUUUUUUUGCCCACGUGAAAAAGGCAAGAGAAAAUUUAGGUGUAGAUUUUUCUUUUCAUUUACAUUUUAAAAAAUAUUUGGAACUAUUUAGAUACAUAAUGCUUUAAAACAGUGAUUCCUACUUAUAGCGGAGACUACAGUCAAAACAAAAUAAAACAAAUCCUCUAAUGCUAUCAGAGCCAAGAAAUCUAUCAAUCAUAUAUACAUUUUUUAAAUCCAGGAGUGUUUACAUUUCAGCAUAUAAAUCUUAUCAAGCUAAAAUAGAGUAUAUAUUCUGAUGUUGUAAUUGAUCGAUCAUACCCUCACUGGCUUUGAGAGUCCCCAAACAUUUAUUGUAAAGGUUUCCAACUACACUAGCAAUCUUUUGUAAUUGAAUAAAAUGCCAAUUUAUAUUUGUUGAAUAAAAGAUUAUCUGGGGUACUGCUCCUUCCGAAAUG
ensembl:lncRNA CASC15 cancer susceptibility 15